UAGUACUUUAUUUAAAGUGAGAGUACAUGUAUUUAAUUUCGUAAUAUAUUUAUCCUAAUAAUAGAAUCUUUAAUUCAUCAAAUUGUUCACGUAUAAUGAAAUUAUAAAACACACCAAAUAAAACUCACCAAUUGGAAUUACAUAAACACACCAAAUAAAAUUACAUAAACAUACGAAAUAAUAAAAAACUCACUACAAAAAACACACCAAAUAAAAAUACAUAAACAUACCAAAUAAUUCACACCAAAUAAAAUUACAUAAACAUACGAAAUAAUAAAAAAAUCACUACAAAAAACACACCAAAUAAAAAUACAUAAACAUACCAAAUAAUUCACACCAAAUAAAAUUACAUAAACAUACGAAAUAAUAAAAAACUCACUACAAAAAACACACCAAAUAAAAUUACAUAAACACUCCAAAUACAAACAAACAUACUAAAUAAACUUAAGUAUCUCCAGCUUGUUUAAAUGCCCACUGGUGCUCUAUCAAGUCAAUUUGCCGAUCAUUGUGCAUAGAUGACCUUUGAAGUGCAGUAUAUCGUUGAAUGACCCUUUCGUUGUAAUGUCCAUCCUUUUCUAAUGGCUCGUGUUGCACGGGUUCUUCGGUGGCAUCAUGCGCACAAUAUAUCCGUGUUCUUGAAUUGUUCAUCGUGUCUGGCUCUAGCUCAUAUUCAUCAACCGCAGCAUAAUCAAACUCAUCUUCCACAAUCAUGUUGUGAAGAAUGACGCACGUCAUCAUGAUGGAUCGAAGUGACUCUACAUCGAACAUUCUGGUAGCACC
rnacentral:lncRNA from 1 species